rnacentral:rRNA from 1 species
GACGAACGCUGGCGGCGUGCUUAACACAUGCAAGUCGAACGGUAAGGCCCUUCGGGUACGACGAGUGGCGAACAGGUGAGUAACACGUGGGUGAUCUGCCCUGCACUUCGGGAUAAGCCUGGGAAACUGGGUCUAAUACCGGAUAGGACUCCUGGCUUCAUGGUUGGGGGUGUAAAGCUUUUGCGGUGUGGGAUGGGCCCGCGGCCUAUCAGCUUGUUGGUGGGGUAAUGGCCUACCAAGGCGACGACGGGUUAGCCGGCCUGAGAGGGUGACCGGCCACACUGGGACUGAGAUACGGCCCAGACUCCUACGGGAGGCAGCAGUGGGGAAUAUUGCACAAUGGGCGCAAGCCUGAUGCAGCGACGCCGCGUGAGGGAUGACGGCCUCGGUUGUAACCGU